rnacentral:rRNA from 1 species
UACGUGAGGUGGCAAGCGUUGUCCGGAUUUAUUGGGUUUAAAGGGUGGCGUAGGUGGUCUAUUAAGGUCAGUGCUGAAAAUAUCCCAGCCUUAACUGGGAGGGUGGCGAUUGAUACUGAUGGACUUGAGUAAAGUUGAGGUGGGCGGAAUUGACGGUGUAGCGGUGAAAUGCUUAGAUAUCGUCAAGAACACCUAUUGCGAAAGGCAG